rnacentral:rRNA from 1 species
UGAGUAACACGUAUCCAACCUGCCGUCUACUCUUGGACAGCCUUCUGAAAGGAAGAUUAAUACAAGAUGGCAUCAUGAGUCCGCAUGUUCACAUGAUUAAAGGUAUUCCGGUAGACGAUGGGGAUGCGUUCCAUUGGAUAGUAGGCGGGGUAACGGCCCACCUAGUCUUCGAUGGAUAGGGGUUCUGAGAGGAAGGUCCCCCACAUUGGAACUGAGACACGGUCCAAACUCCUACGGGAGGCAGCAGUGAGGAAUAUUGGUCAAUGGGCGAGAGCCUGAACCAGCCAAGUAGCGUGAAGGAUGACUGCCCUAUGGGUUGUAAACUUCUUUUAUAAAGGAAUAAAGUCGGGUAUGGAUACCCGUUUGCAUGUACUUUAUGAAUAAGGAUCGGCUAACUCCGUGCCAGCAGCCGCGGUAAUACGGAGGAUCCGAGCGUUAUCCGGAUUUAUUGGGUUUAAAGGGAGCGUA